UGAUAAAAAACAAAGAUAGAAACUUGUCAAACUGUGUAUUACUGUGACACAAACGUGGGUUUUCUUUUUAGUUUAGGAAAUAAAAAAAAUUAUGGCUGGAGUCGCAAAUAGCAUUUGAGCGGUGCAUUUAUUUACAGGCAAAGAACAAAUGCUACCAGAAAG